GUCAGAGCUCAAUUCUUUAGAACUUGAAGAACAUGUAUAGGUAAUCUUUAUUUUUCAGUAAAGAAAAAUCAAAAUUUGAUUUUGCAAGUUUUGACAUUCACUUGGUUCAAAAGAUAUAUUCUAAUCCAAGGUGUGACUUUCAUAGGAGGUUGCCUUUGAUACUUAUGGAAUUCUUUGUAUGAAGUUUAGGGUUUUUAUGCUGUCAAACACCCUUGAUUUUGAGAUGCAUUUUCUUGUAAAUAUUACUUGAUGUUUUAGAAGGAAGCUAAGCUAUGAUUUGUGAAGGCAGCCACACCAGAUAUGCAGAUCCAAGAUUUGUAACAUUGUACAUUCUUUCUAUUCAGCAAAAGAAUUGGCAGUUGCAUUAAUGAUUUGUUAAUUUUAUCGAGAUUAUUGUUAGUUGUGUUUUGGGAGGGAAGGAGGCUGGUGAGAUGCUUUUUAAAUUUGAUAAUAUCAUUUUCAUUUUGAGAAAUGCACUUAAAAAAGAGUGUAAAUUUUAAUAUAUCUGCCACAAAUUUUAAACCAUAUGUAACUUGCCAUGAAUUAAUUCUUGUAGAGU
rnacentral:misc_RNA from 1 species